UUGUCAUCCUCACUAACUACUCCUGGCCUAAGAUAAACCACUGAGCUUCUCUGAGCCCAAGUAGUUCACCUGUGAAGUGAGGGAUUCUAACUUAUACCUAAAACCCAUUUAAUUUUCCGUGAUCCAGCUCCUUUUAUUAAGAACCUACUAGGCCUUCUGGACACACUGGAGGACAACAUAGAGGCAUUUCCUGCCCUGGUGGGGCUUACAACCUGAUCACUGACAAGCUUUCAAAGAGGCAUCUACAUGGCUGCACCCAUCCACAAACUGUUACUGCAUUCUGGCCAAUUGCAAGACAGUGGACAAUCACAAAUGUAAAUGGAUAAAGCGAUAUUUACAGUGUGCCAGGAGCUGUUCUAAGACUUUUCCCUCCUUGGCGUGUAACUCUUGGAGGCUCCAAACUAACACAAAGCUCUUGAAGGAUGAGCACACUUCUGCCCUGUCCCUGACAAAUAUCAGCAAUCCAGUCACCAAGAUCCAGAAGUCUUUUCUCAGGCCUCGGUCAUCACCUCCGGCACAAUGGUUCACCUGAAACCUUGGCUCCUUUGUUUCCUUCAAGGUAGAUCUUGUGGACUGAUUGUUUGUGCCUUCUCCAAAUUCCUUAUGUUGAAGCCCUAAUUCUGAGGGUGGUUAUAUUUGGAGAUGAGGCCUCUAAGAAAGCAAUCACAGUUAAAUGAGGUAAGAGGGUGGGGCCUUGGUCCAAUGGGAUCAGUGUCCUUACAAGCAGAGACACCAGAGAGCCCACCCCCACUCCACUGGGCUCAUGCAGCAAGGAAGAAAUGGCCAAGCAGCCAUCUGCAAGCCAGGAAGAGGGCUCCCACCAGAAACCAUAUUUGCUGGCUCCUUGGUCAUGACUUCCAACCUCUACAGCUACGAGAAAAUUAAUUUCUGUUGCCUCGGCCGGCCAGCCUGUGGUAUUGCACUGUGGAAGCCGUCACCGACUGAUAGAGUGGGAAAACCUAGUCCUCCGCCUGCCCUCCACUGCUUUGUCAGUUUUCCUUUCUCCUGUGGUCAGAAGUCUGCAAUGAGUGUGGGGCUAAAGUCUGCAAUGAGUGUGGGGCUAAAGUCUGCAUGUUGGCAGGGCUGGUUCCUUCUAAAGGCUCUAGGGGAGAAUUUGAAAAAAAAUAAAAGAGGAUGAUGUGUUGGAGGCCCGGGGGUGGUUCCCUGUGAGGAAGUGCCACUUGAGGUAAGAGCCGCCUGAGGAGGAAGCAGACACGUGGAGAGCUAAGGGGAGAGCGAGAGCGAGAGCGAGAGCGAGAGGGAGAGGGAGAGCCUGGAGGUAGAAAUAGCUUCGUGUAUUGGUUUCCUGUUGCUGCUAUAAUAAGUUACCACAAACUUGGUGGCUUAAAAUAGCACAAAUUUACUAUCUUACAGAUAGAACUGCUUAUUUGUUUCCUUCUUUAACGUCUUUGUGUAACUUCCUUCCAGAAUAUAAACUUCAUGAAGCCAAGGGCCUUGUAGGUCUCACUCCCAGCCAUAUCCUCCGAGACUAAAGCACUGAGAUCAAAUAUUUGUUGGAUAAUUCUCUAACUGAAUGCAAAAAUUAUGGGGUAAACUGCUUGAUGUGACAGAAAAAUUAAAUGUUAGAAUAUGAUGUCAUGUUCAAAUGAAGAAAAGCAUGGUACAAAAUUAUAUA